rnacentral:rRNA from 1 species
AGAGUUUGAUCCUGGCUCAGAUUGAACGCUGAUGCCUUACACAUGCAAGUCGAACGGCAGCGGACCUUCGGGUGCCGACGAGUGGCGAACGGGUGAGUAAAGUAUCGGAACGUACCUUUCAGUGGGGGGUAACGUAGCGAAAGUUACGCUAAUACCGCAUAUUCUGUGAGCAGGAAAGCAGGGGAUCGCAAGACCUUGCGCUGAUUGAGCGGCCGAUAUCAGAUUAGCUAGUUGGUGAGGUAAAGGCUCACCAAGGCGACGAUCUGUAGCGGGUCUGAGAGGAUGAUCCGCCACACUGGAACUGAGACACGGUCCAGACUCCUACGGGAGGCAGCAGUGGGGAAUUUUGGACAAUGGGGGCAACCCUGAUCCAGCCAUGCCGCGUGAGUGAAGAAGGCCUUCGGGUUGUAAAGCUCUUUCGGCCGGGAAGAAAUCGCGCCAGUUAAUACCUGGUGUGGAUGACGGUACCGGAAUAAGAAGCACCGGCUAACUACGUGCCAGCAGCCGCGGUAAUACGUAGGGUGCGAGCGUUAAUCGGAAUUACUGGGCGUAAAGCGUGCGCAGGCGGUUUUGUAAGACAGGCGUGAAAUCCCCGGGCUCAACCUGGGAACUGCGCUUGUGACUGCAUCACUCGAGUACGGCAGAGGGGGGUGGAAUUCCACGUGUAGCAGUGAAAUGCGUAGAGAUGUGGGGGAACACCGAUGGCGAAGGCAGCCCCCUGGGCCGAUACUGACGCUCAUGCACGAAAGCGUGGGUAGCAAACAGGAUUAGAUACCCUGGUAGUCCACGCCCUAAACGAUGUCAACUAGGUGUUGGGUGGGUAAAACCAUUUAGUACCGUAGCUAACGCGUGAAGUUGACCGCCUGGGGAGUACGGCCGCAAGGUUAAAACUCAAAGGAAUUGACGGGGACCCGCACAAGCGGUGGAUGAUGUGAUUAAUUCGAUGCAACGCGAAAA